rnacentral:tRNA from 1 species
AUUAUCUUCUCAAGACA